rnacentral:lncRNA from 1 species
ACCGCUUUCCCCGUAACCAGGGAGACUGCAGUUUGCAGUGAUGUGGCUAAGAUACCCUUGUGCUAUUAAAGGCACAUUUACGUAUCUUUCAACGCAGUUUGUACCUUUGUUUAGGGUUCUAUUGAACUUUCUCUGUGCUCUUUAGAAAACCGUCGAAUAAAGGGAGGUCAUGGACCAAGUACAAAGCGGCAAAAGGAUGGAAUUAAGGGAUAUUUCCAGUGAAAGAAAGAAGAAAGCAUGCUUUUCUCUUGACUGUGCAGAAAAAAAAACUAUGUUUCUUUGAUUCUCCAUUUUACUAGAUGCCAUACCUUUGCAAUUACUUCAUGUGGAGUCUUGACCAAGAUUCAGGAAAUACUAGAACUUUCAGUCCCAGAAGGUUACUCUGGGCAUUACUAGUCCCCAUCAUUAUGAGUUGAGUUUUACUAGUUAAUUUCAGACGAAAAAUAUUUGUUUUUCCCCAAAUUCUGGGGUUACGUACUUUUACUACCUAUGAACUGACAACUGUAUCUUCAGUAAUUACAAUUUCCAACAAAAUGUUAUAGGAAUAAAGAAAAGAUGUUAGUUCAUUAUUCAGAGUUUAUGUUUAUUCCUUUAAUAAAAAGAAAU